UUAUUAAGGCUGAAUAUCUAUUAUAACUGUUGAAAUUACUACACAUUGUAUUCUUUUCUUCAUCAAAGUAAGUAGAUGUUCAAACUAAAUUGAGGUAUAAGGGAUACAUAUAACAAACAUAUAGAUGCUUAUUAUAACAAGUUUAUUCAAUUGACUCGCUCGAGAAUUCUAUAUGAAAGAUUAUUUGUGUUUAUGAAAAACCUCACGUGAUAAACAUGUAAGUG
rnacentral:misc_RNA from 1 species